rnacentral:rRNA from 1 species
CCUACGGGAGGCAGCAGUGGGGAAUCUUGCGCAAUGGGCGAAAGCCUGACGCAGCCAUGCCGCGUGUAUGAUGAAGGUCUUAGGAUUGUAAAAUACUUUCACCGGUGAAGAUAAUGACUGUAGCCGGAGAAGAAGCCCCGGCUAACUUCGUGCCAGCAGCCGCGGUAAUACGAAGGGGGCUAGCGUUGCUCGGAAUUACUGGGCGUAAAGGGAGCGUAGGCGGACAUUUAAGUCAGAGGUGAAAUCCCGGAGCUUAACUUCGGAACUGCCUUUGAUACUGGGUGUCUUGAGUGUGAGAGAGGUAUGUGGAACUCCGAGUGUAGAGGUGAAAUUCGUAGAUAUUCGGAAGAACACCAGUGGCGAAGGCGACAUACUGGCUCAUUACUGACGCUGAGGCUCGAAAGCGUGGGGAGCAAACAGGAUUAGAUACCCUGGUAGUCCACGCCGUAAACGAUGAUUGCUAGUUGUCGGGAAGCUUGCUUCUCGGUGACGCNGCUACGCAUAGACANCCGCCGUGGGAGGUACGGUCGCGAGAUAAACUACUAAUUAGAAGUAGUUAGGCGUGNGAGNGCCGACGGACGACGACGAGGGAGGAGG